CCCUUAGAUGUCCUGGGCCGCACGCGCGCUACACUGAUGCAUGCAACGAGUUUAUAACCUUGGCCUGAAAGGUCUGGGUAAUCUUUUGAACGUGCAUCGUGAUAGGGAUAGAUUAUUGCAAUUGUUAAUCUUGAACGAGGAAUUCCUAGUAAACGCGAGUCAUCAGCUCGCAUUGAUUACGUCCCUGCCCUUUGUACACACCGCCCGUCGCACCUACCGAUUGAAUGGUUCGGUGAAGAUCUCGGACUUCGAUAUUUAUUCUUUAUUGAGUUUAUAUUGUGGGAAGUUAUCUAAGCCUCAUCAUUUAGAGGAAGGUGAAGUCGUAACA
rnacentral:rRNA from 1 species